CCUGACACAGGUCACAGUGUGGUAUGGAGGUAUACCUUGACCUCCAGUCACCUGACACAGGUCCUAGUGUGGUAUGGAGGUAUACCUUGACCUCCAGUCACCUGACACAGGUCCUACAGCUUGUUCAGCUUGACCUGAGCUACUCUACAUAUGCAUGACCCGGGAGGUCAAAUGGCACAGAUGGCAGGUCGAGUUAACUUCAUUAAAUAGGGGACAUGUUCUGGUCAGCCCAGGGUUGCACUGGAAUCACCAGUUGCUGCUGCAGUUUGCUGCCUAAAAGCGGGAAUCGGAAAUAUUAAACCAUCUGCAGCUUCUUUUUUUUAAGAAAGUUAGGACAUUUGCUGAGACACUGAGAUGGCAAACGGCGACCUCAAUGUCUCGGCUUUUCAGGCAUGUUGACAAUCAACUGACAAAGGUGCACCCUUCACAAUAAUAGACCCAACCAGUUAUGACACGGUCACGCAAUGCAUUAGUAUUCACUUGAUCAGGUCAAGCUGACCUCCAGUCACUUGACACAGGUCACAGUGUGGUAUGGAGGUAUACCUUGACCUCCAGUCACUUGACACAGGUCCUAGUGUGGUAUGGAGGUAUACCUUGACCUCCAGUUACUUGACACAGGUCCUAGUGUAGUUUGGAGGUAUACCUUGAGAUCCAGUCACUUGACACAGGUCCUUGUGUGGUAUGGAGGUAUACCUUGACCUCCAGUCACUUGACACAGGUCCUUGUGUGGUAUGGAGGUAUAUCUUGACCUCCAGUCACUUGACACAGGUCCUAGUGUAGUUUGGAGGUAUACCUUGAGAUCCAGUCACUUGACACAGGUCCUUUUGUGGUAUGGAGGCACACCUUGACCUCCAGUUACUUGACACAGGUCCUAGUGUAGUUUGGAGGUAUACCUUGACAUCAAGUCACUUGACACAGGUCCUUGUGUGGUAUGGAGGUAUACCUUGACCUCCAGUCACUUGACACAGGUCCUUGUGUGGUAUGGAGGUAUAUCUUGACCUCCAGUCACUUGACACAGGUCCUAGUGUAGUUUGGAGGUAUACCUUGAGAUCCAGUCACUUGACACAGGUCCUUGUGUGGUAUGGAGGCACACCUUGACCUCCAGUUACUUGACACAGGUCCUAGUGUAGUUUGGAGGUAUACCUUGACAUCCAGUCACUUGACACAGGUCAAAUAGUUCAAAAUAUUUACACCUUGAAUUCCACUCACCUAAUUCAUUCAGUAGAAAACUAAACCAUAUCACAUCAUAUACAUGUCAUUGUUGAAAAGUAGGGACAUCAGUCCAGGGUGUACACACUACGGUCACCCACAUAGACAGAGCAGAUGAAAUCAAACAGAGAAGAGUUAGGCCUUUCUCACCCAGGUACCUGGUACCUAUACUUGCACAGACUGGUAGAUAUACUGCUGAUGUUUUCCCAAAGCCCCCACUAUUUCAGAAGAACAUGUUAUUUUAUUGUUCAAUCAUUCAUGGAACAAAAUAGAUUUUAAUCAUUGAUUGUUAUAAUAUCUUUCUACUCUUUGACUUUUUAAAUAAAACUUCAAUCUUGUAUGUGUAA